rnacentral:rRNA from 1 species
AUUGAACGCUGGCGGCAGGCCUAACACAUGCAAGUCGAGCGGAGCGGCGGACGGGUGAGUAAUGCCUAGGAAUCUGCCUGGUAGUGGGGGAUAACGUCCGGAAACGGGCGCUAAUACCGCAUACUAUCAGAUGAGCCUAGGUCGGAUUGGCUAGUUGGCGGGGUAAAGGCAUACCAGGGCGACGAUCCGUCACCGGUCUGAGAGGAUGAUCAGUCACAAUGGAACGUAGACACGGUCGAGACGCCUACGGGAGGCAUCAGUGGGGAAUAUUGGACAAUGGGCGAAAGCCUGAGCCAGCAAUGCCGCGUGUGUGAAGAAGGUCUUCGGAUUGUAAAGCACUGUAAGUUGGGAGGCGUUACCAACAGAAUAAGCACCGGCUAACUUCGCGCCAGCAGCCGCGGUAAUAC